rnacentral:rRNA from 1 species
GGGUAGUUUGACUGGGGCGGUCUCCUCCUAAAGAGUAACGGAGGAGCACGAAGGUUGGCUAAUCCUGGUCGGACAUCAGGAGGUUAGUGCAAUGGCAUAAGCCAGCUUGACUGCGAGCGUGACGGCGCGAGCAGGUGCGAAAGCAGGUCAUAGUGAUCCGGUGGUUCUGAAUGGAAGGGCCAUCGCUCAACGGAUAAAAGGUACUCCGGGGAUAACAGGCUGAUACCGCCCAAGAGUUCAUAUCGACGGCGGUGUUUGGCACCUCGAUGUCGGCUCAUCACAUCCUGGGGCUGAAGUAGGUCCCAAGGGUAUGGCUGUUCGCCAUUUAAAGUGGUACGCGAGCUGGGUUUAGAACGUCGUGAGACAGUUCGGUCCCUAUCUGCCGUGGGCGCUGGAGAACUGAGGGGGGCUGCUCCUAGUACGAGAGGACCGGAGUGGACGCAUCACUGGUGUUCGGGUUGUCAUGCCAAUGGCACUGCCCGGUAGCUAAAUGCGGAAGAGAUAAGUGCUGAAAGCAUCUAAGCACGAAACUUGCCCCGAGAUGAGUUCUCCCUGACUCCCUGAGAGUCCUGAAGGAACGUUGAAGACGACGACGUUGAUAGGCCGGGUGUGUAAGCGCAGCGAUGCGUUGAGCUAACCGGUACUAAUGAACCGUGAGGCUUAACCUUACAACGCCGAAGCUGUU